UGCAAUCACGGGCCAGCAGCCGUGGUAAUGUGUGGGGAGCAAGGGUUGUCCUGAUGCAUUGGGCGUAAAUGAGCCGGAGGCGGCCCGUUAAGACCGUUGUUAAAGUCAAAGGCUCAACCUUUGAAAGCCGAUGGAUACUGCAUGGCUAGAGUCCGGAAGAGGCGAGUGGAAUUCCUGGUGUAGCGGUGGAAUGCGCAGAUAUCAGGAGGAACACCAAUAGCGAAGGCAGCUCGCUGGGACGGUACUGACGCUAAGGCGCGAAAGCGUGGGGAGCGAACAGGAUUAGAUACCCGUGUAGUC
rnacentral:rRNA from 1 species